rnacentral:rRNA from 1 species
UGGGGAAUAUUGCACAAUGGGCGAAAGCCUGAUGCAGCAACGCCGCGUGAGGGACGACGGCCUUCGGGUUGUAAACCUCUUUUAGCAAGGAAGAAGCGAAAGUGACGGUACUUGCAGAAAAAGCGCCGGCUAACUACGUGCCAGCAGCCGCGGUAAUACGUAGGGCGCAAGCGUUAUCCGGAAUUAUUGGGCGUAAAGAGCUCGUAGGCGGUUUGUCGCGUCUGCUGUGAAAACCCGAGGCUCAACCUCGGGCCUGCAGUGGGUACGGGCAGACUAGAGUGCGGUAGGGGAGAUUGGAACUCCUGGUGUAGCGGUGGAAUGCGCAGAUAUCAGGAAGAACACCGAUGGCGAAGGCAGAUCUCUGGGCCGUAACUGACGCUGAGGAGCGAAAGGGUGGGGAGCAAACAGGCUUAGAUGACCCUGGUAGUCCACCCCGU